rnacentral:lncRNA from 1 species
AACGUGCUCUGGGUCCACAGGCUUACCAUCUGAGUCCUUCUGAUUGGGAUUGGGUACCAGGCGGCAGUUAUCAGGACCAGGAGGCACAUAAUCUGGGAUGCCAUCAUUGUCAUCAUCCCCAUCACACUCAUCUCCAAGUCCAUCGUUAUCAGAGUCCAGCUGGGAGCUAUUUGGCAGCUGUGGGCAGUUGUCCUUGGUGUCCUGAUGCCCAUCCCCAUCGCUAAUCAGAAGAACAGUCCACACUCUGCCUAACGCUACGCCCUACCUCACAUUCCUAUUGACAUCUGCUGCAGGUAAUCUCUCCUCACCCAGGCCAACGUCCACAAGCCUGCCUCCCUACUUCACAGAGACUUCCUAGCUUCCCUGCUUCAUCCCCACCUGAUCCAAAUUCUCACAGGUCCCCCAGCCACCCCUUCAGCCCCAGGCCUGCACCAUCCCCAUCCACGUCGUUGUCACAGGCAUCUCCUUCCCCAUUGCCAUCUGUGUCCUUCUGGUCAUUGUUGGGAACGUUGGGGCAAUUGUCACAGGCAUCACCAAAUGAAUCUGUAUCUGAGUUCUGC